GAUGAACGCUAGCGACAUGCUUAACACAUGCAAGUCGAGGGAGAACUAUGAGAGAGCUGGCGCUCUUAUGCGUCGACCGUCGCACGGUGGAGUAACGCGUAUCCAACCUACCCGUUACAGGUGGAUAACCUUGCGAAAGUCAUAGUAAUACCCCAUUGCAGCUUUUGGUUGCAUCAUUAUAGGAUUAGAUAGUUAGUGGUAAUGGAUGGGGAUGCGUCGGAUUAGCUUGUUGGCUGGGUAACGGCCCACCAAGGCAACGAUCAGUAGGGGUUCUGAGAGGAAGGUCCCUCACAUUGGAACUGAGACACGGUCCAAACGACUACGGGAGGCAGCAGUGAGGAACAUUGGUCAAUGGGCGAGAGCUUGAACCAGUCAAGUAGCGUGUAGGCUGACGGUGCUAUGGGUUGUAAACUGCUUUUAUAGUGGAAUAAAGCGUGUUCCCUGUAGUUUAUUGCCUGUACCCUAUGAAUAAGGACCGGCUAACUCCGUG
rnacentral:rRNA from 1 species